rnacentral:rRNA from 1 species
AGAACGAACGCUGGCGGCAUGCCUAACACAUGCAAGUCGAACGCUCUUGAGGCUUCGGUUUCAAGGGAGUGGCGCACGGGUGAGUAGCGCGUGGGAACCUGCCCUGUUGUGGGGGAUAACCGAGGGAAACUUCGGCUAAUACCGCAUGCGCCCGGGGAAACCCGGGGAAAGAUUUAUCGCAGCAGGAGGGGCCCGCGUCGGAUUAGGUAGUUGGUAGGGUAACGGCCUACCAAGCCUUUGAUCCGUAGCUGGUCUGAGAGGAUGAUCAGCCACACUGGGACUGAGACACGGCCCAGACUCCUACGGGAGGCAGCAGUGGGGAAUAUUGGACAAUGGGCGCAAGCCUGAUCCAGCAAUGCCGCGUGAGUGAUGAAGGCCUUAGGGUUGUAAAGCUCUUUCGCCCGCGACGAUGAUGACGGUAGCGGGAGAAGAAGCCCGGCUAACUUCGUGCCAGCAGCCGC